GGCGCCAUGGUCAAGCGGUUAAGACAUCGCCCUUUCACGGCGGUAACACGAGUUCAAAUCUCGUUGGCGUCA
rnacentral:tRNA from 1 species